CAGUCGCCGCGGGAAUACGUAGGUGGCAAGCGUUGUCCGGAAUUAUUGGGCGUAAAGGGCUCGCAGGCGGUUUCUUAAGUCUGAUGUGAAAGCCUCCGGCUCAACCGGGGAGGGUCAUUGGAAACUGGGAAACUUGAGUGCAGAAGAGGAGAGUGGAAUUCCACGUGUAGCGGUGAAAUGCGUAGAGAUGUAGAGGAACACCAGUGGCGAAGGCGACUCUCUGGUCUGUAACUGACGCUGAGGAGCGAAAGCGUGGGGAGCGAACAGGAUUAGAUACCCCUGUAGUCCCUGUCUCUUAUAC
rnacentral:rRNA from 1 species